AUGCCCAGCGCGUCCCGUCCCCUCGCCCAUCCCUCCCCUCGCUGCUCCCAGGCGCCCAGAAGCACCCAGACAAAUUACUCAGCCCGCCGCCGUUUUGCAGCGGCGGAGAAGCGGCGGCGGCUCCGGCAGGGAGCUCCCUUCACCGCCGGUAUUUUUAUCCUGAGGAAGCCACCUGCGUUUUCCGUGAGCCCGGGAGAAGUUUUUAGGCUGAUCCCCGGGCACGCGGCCGGCACCCCAACCUCAGGAUGCUCUGAAGGGCAGAGCCCGGCCCCAGCCCAGCCGUGCCCGGCCCCAGCCCCGCUGCCGGCGCUGGGCACGGGAGCGGCCCCGCACGGCCCCGCACCGCACCCGGAGCUCCGCACCCCGAGACCCCCUCGCGGAUCCCGCAGCCCACGGCGCUGCUCCGCGUCUGCCCUAAACCCCGCUGGGGUCUCCCGGGGGCGCUCGGGUCCUCUCUCUCCCGGCCCCCCGUUUCCAGAAGCGGAGAUUAUCGGGGGAGACAGCCGCGCACCCACACCGGGACGUAGCCCAGCCCAGCCGGCGCAGCGCCGCCCGGAGCCCCAGCCCCGGGAGGGCUCCGCCGGCUGCGGGGACCCGCCGGCACCGGCUGCCACGCACGGCAAGUUGCCGCUGGCGGCGGGGAUGGCCCCUCGGCGGCAGCCCCGUCCCGCCCCGUCCCGCCCCGCUCACCUGCGCUCAGCAGCGCCGCCGCCCGCCCGGGGCCGCCGCCGCCGCCCUCCUCCUCCGCAUGGCGCCGGCACGGGAGCGCCGGGAGCAGCGGCCCGGAGCGCGGCCGGGGCUGCCCUGCCCUGCGCUGGGCUGGGCUCGGCUCGGCUGGGCUGGGCCGGGCUCCGCUCCGCCACCGCCUCCCCGCCGUGGCGCCGCCCAACGGCUGCGGCAGCGCCCGGCUCCCGCGAUACUUGGCCUGGCACGGCCCGGCACGGCUCGGCCGAGCCUCCCCGAGACCCCCGGGAGCUCGGCGGUGCUGGAGGGCUGCGGUGA
rnacentral:lncRNA from 1 species